CCUACGGGCGGCAGCAGUGGGGAAUAUUGGACAAUGGGGGGAACCCUGAUCCGGCCAUGCCGCGUGUGUGAAGAAGGCCCUCGGGUUGUAAAGCACUUUCAGUGAGGAAGAACGCCUGGUGGUUAAUACCCAUCAGGAAAGACAUCACUCACAGAAGAAGCACCGGCUAACUCCGUGCCAGCAGCCGCGGUAAUACGGAGGGUGCGAGCGUUAAUCGGAAUUACUGGGCGUAAAGCGCGCGUAGGUGGCUUGAUAAGCCGGUUGUGAAAGCCCCGGGCUCAACCUGGGAACGGCAUCCGGAACUGUCAAGCUAGAGUGCAGGAGAGGAAGGUAGAAUUCCCGGUGUAGCGGUGAAAUGCGUAGAGAUCGGGAGGAAUACCAGUGGCGAAGGCGGCCUUCUGGACUGACACUGACACUGAGGUGCGAAAGCGUGGGUAGCAAACAGGAUUAGAUACCCGGGUAGUC
rnacentral:rRNA from 1 species